rnacentral:rRNA from 1 species
AACUAACAAGGAUUCCCUUAGUAACUGCGAGUGAAGAGGGAAAAGCUCAAAUUUAAAAUCUGGCAGUGUUUCACUGUCCGAGUUGUAACCUAGAGAAGUGUAACCUGCGCUGGACCGUGUAUAAGUCUCCUGGAAUGGAGCAUCACUGAGGGUGAGAAUCCCGUCUUUGACACGGACCACCAGUGCAUUGUGGUUGUGCUCUCAACGAGUCGAGUUGUUUGGGAAUGCAGCUCUAAAUGGGUGGUAAAUUCCAUCUAAAGCUAAAUAUUGGCGAGAGACCGAUAGCGAACAAGUACCGUGAGGGAAAGAUGAAAAGAACUUUGGAAAGAGAGUUAAACAGUAUGUGAAAUUGUUGAAAGGGAAACGUUUGAAGUCAGUCGCGUUGGUUGGGGAUCAGCCUGACAUUGUUGGGUGUACUUCCUGGUUGACGGGCCAACAUCAGUUUUGAUUGCCAGAAAAAGGCCAAAGGAAUGUGGCACCUUUGGGUGUGUUAUAGCCCUUGGUCGUAUAUGGUGGUUGGGACUGAGGAAAGCAGCGUGCCGAAAGGCCGGGUUUCGACCACGUUCACGCUGAGGAUGUUGGCAUAAUGGCUUUAAGCGACCCGUCUUGAAACACGGACCAAGGAGUCUAACAUGCAUGCGAGUGUUUGGGUGGAAAACCCUUACGCGUAAUGAAAGUGAAAGUUGAGAUCCCUGUCGUGGGGAGCAUCGACGCCCGGACCAGAACUUUUGGGACGGAUCUGCGGUAGAGCACGUAUGUUGGGACCCGAAAGAUGGUGAACUAUGCCUGAAUAGGGUGAAGCCAGAGGAAACUCUGGUGGAGGCUCGUAGCGAUUCUGACGUGCAAAUCGAUCGUCAAAUUUGGGUAUAGGGGCGAAAGACUAAUCGAACCAUCUAGUAGCUGGUUCCUGCCG